rnacentral:rRNA from 1 species
UACGAAGGGGGCUAGCGUUGCUCGGAAUCACUGGGCGUAAAGGGUGCGUAGGCGGGUCUUUAAGUCAGGGGUGAAAUCCUGGAGCUCAACUCCAGAACUGCCUUUGAUACUGAGGAUCUUGAGUACGGGAGAGGUGAGUGGAACUGCGAGUGUAGAGGUGAAAUUCGUAGAUAUUCGCAAGAACACCAGUGGCGAAGGCGGCUCACUGGCCCGUUACUGACGCUGAGGCACGAAAGCGUGGGGAGCAA